rnacentral:rRNA from 1 species
GACGAACGCUGGCGGCGUGCUUAACACAUGCAAGUCGAACGGAAAGGCCCUGCUUUUGUGGGGUGCUCGAGUGGCGAACAGGUGAGUAACACGUGAGUAACCUGCCCUUGACUUUGGGAUAACUUCAGGAAACUGGGGCUAAUACCGGAUAGGAGCUCCUGCUGCAUGGUGGGGGUUGGAAAGUUUCGGCGGUUGGGAUGGACUCGCGGCUUAUCAGCUUGUUGGUGGGGUAGUGGCUUACCAAGGCUUUGACGGGUAGCCGGCCUGAGAGGGUGACCGGCCACAUUGGGACUGAGAUACGGCCCAGACUCCUACGGGAGGCAGCAGUGGGGAAUAUUGCACAAUGGGCGGAAGCCUGAUGCAGCAACGCCGCGUGCGGGAUGACGGCCUUCGGGUUGUAAACCGCUUUCGCCUGUGACGAAGCGUGAGUGACGGUAAUGGGUAAAGAAGCACCGGCUAACUACGUG